rnacentral:sRNA from 2 species
AUUGCUGGAGCGCUGAAUUCUUCCUCGGCAGGCCGAGGGGGAAGCGGGGGACCCGUCUCGUGGGGUGAAUCCCGGCCUUCUACGGCCGGGUAGGGUCAAGCUUUCGACCCGAACCCGUCAGCUAACCUCGUAAGCGUGGAAAGCACCG